AUUGAACGCUGGCGGCAGGCCUAACACAUGCAAGUCGAGCGGAGCGGCGGAAGGGUGAGUAAUGUCUGGGAAACUGCCUGAUGGAGGGGGAUAACUACUGGAAACGGUAGCUAAUACCGCAUACAAUCAGAUGAGCCUAGGGCGGAUUAGCUAGGUGGGGGGGUAAAGGCCUACAAAGGCGACGAUCCGUAACUGGUCUGAGAGGAGGAUCAGUCACACUGGAACUUAGACACGGUCCAUACUCCUACGGGAGGCAGCAGUGGGGAAUAUUGGACAAUGGGCGAAAGCCUGAUCCAGCCAUGCCGCGUGUGUGAAGAAGGUCUUCGGAUUGUAAAGCACUUUAAGUUGGGAGGCGUUACCAACAGAAUAAGCACCGGCUAACUUCGUGCCAGCAGCCGCGGUAAUAC
rnacentral:rRNA from 1 species